AACAGUUAACGCUUAAAACAACCCUAUAACAGACUCGCCUCCAUUUUCCAUCUACAUCUCUGCUCGUUUUUUUUUCUCGGACAAUACUUUCUCGGAAAAUUCCAAAUGAGAUGAGAAUAUGUCACUGUCACAGAACAAUCUCAUCUCCAUCCACAACAACCUCUUCGAAAUUCGUGUCCCCAUUAGAACUCAACCAUUUACUUCAACUUUGCAGCAAUUCAAAAGCAAUAGACCCAGGACGACAAGUCCAUCAACAGAUCAUUCUACGUGGGUUAGACAGAGACCCUUUCAUAAUCACCAAAUUAGUUCAAAUGUAUGCAGGUUUCGAGGAUUCGAAAACUGCCCACCAUUUGUUCGACAGAUUGUCCCAACCAAAUGUUUUUGCAUGGACUGCAAUGCUGUCGUUUUAUUCGCGUAACGGAAUGUCAAAUCAGUGUUUGGGUUUUUAUGGUUUAAUGAAAUUGAGGGGUGUUUUUCCCGAUAAGUAUGUGUUUCCUAAGGUAUUACGAUCAUGUGCACAAUCUGGGUACUUUGAAAUGGGGAUUCAAGUGCACAAAGAUGUGAUCACUGGUGGUGCUGACUUGAAUGUACAAGUUUGCAAUUCUUUGAUUGAUAUGUAUUCAAAAUGUGGGGACAUCGAGAAUGCUAUGCGGGUUUUUGGAAGAAUGGUGGAAAGAGAUUUGUUGUCUUGGAAUUCAAUGAUUUCAGGGUACGUGUGUAAUGGGUUUCUUGAAUCAGCAGUGGAUUUGUUGGAUUCUAUGAGGUUGGAAGGUUUUGAACCUGAUUUAGUCACUUGGAAUACUGCAAUGGAUGCUUAUUGCAGAAUGGGUCAAUGUAAUGAGGCUUGGAAGAUUUUUGAACAGAUUAAUGAACCAAAUAUAAUUUCAUGGACCACUUUGAUAUCAGGUUAUUCAAGGAUUGGGAAGCAUGAAGUAACAUUAGCGAUCUUUAGGGAUAUGGUGAGUAAAAAUGUAGUUUUCCCAGAUUUGGAUUGUAUUUCUGGUGUCCUUGUUUCGUGCCGGCAUCUUGGUGCUUUAAUAUGUGGACGAGAAAUUCAUGCUUACGGGAUUAAAGUUGAAAAGGGGUUUGCAUUUUACAAGUCAGCUGGACCUGCAUUGUUGACAAUGUACGGUAGGUGUAGAAGACUAAAUGAUGCAACAAAUGUAUUCAAUUUGAUGGAAAAAUCUGAUGUCGUUACAUGGAAUGCCAUGAUUCUUAGUUUUAUUGAUCUUGGAAUGGAAAAUAUGGCACUUGAAUGUUUCAGAAAAAUGCCAAGAAUGAGGUUACAGAUCGAUCAAACCACAAUUUCCACUGUUUUGUCUAUGUGUGAUCUAAAAUCCGGGAAACAAAUACAUGCCUACAUUAAGAAAAGCAGUUUUGGUCUGUCAAUUCCGGUUUGGAAUGCGUUGAUCCAUAUGUACUCCAGAUGUGGAUGCAUUGGAACAGCAUAUUCUGUGUUUUCUAACAUGGUAAGUAGAGAUUUAGUAUCAUGGAACACAAUGAUUGGAGGGUUUGGAAAGCACGGGUUUGGCAAAUCCGCUCUCCAACUUCUGAAUGAGAUGAAUCGUUCUGGCCUUUGUCCCAACUCAGUGACUUUUACUUCAGUGUUAUCGGCCUGUAGCCACUCAGGUCUUCUUGAUGAGGGGCUUGAAGUCUUCCACAGAAUGACAAAAGACUUUGGCUUCAAGCCCGGAAUGGAACAUUUUGCUUGUGUUGUUGAUUUACUGGCACGUGCUGGUCGGCUUGAGGAUGCUGUCGGCUUUAUUAAGAGAAUGCCUCUAAAGGCUGAUAAGUGUAUUUGGGGGGCUUUGCUUGCUGCUUCUCAAGCCCACCAAAGCAUUGGUGUGGCAAUGCUUGCUUCAGAACAUUUAGUCCAUCUGGAACCUGAAUAUGCUGGACAUUACGUGACAUUGGCAAAUACAUAUGCUAGAGCAGGAAGAUGGGAUGACGCUGUAAGAGUGAGAAAAUUAAUGGAGAGCAGAGGAUUGGUGAAGCCUUCGGGAUAUAGUUGUAUUGAAAGUGGAAACUGAUCAAAUGAAGGUGAAAUGAGCUUCUAAUAAACUUUUUAAGAUUCUUUAUAGCGAAAGAGAUAAAUGCUUCUUAUGGUAGAGUGGCACAGAACUGUUUGGUUUCCACAAAAUAUCCCCAAACAUGCUUUUAUGCAAGGAAAGAUUGGCAAAAAAAGAUGAACUUAUGGAAUGGGAAAUCUCACCAGCACCUAUGUUUUUGAAUGUACCAACUCUUCACUCAUUUGGAAAGAUGUGAAGGGAAAAACUGUUGUCUGAAGAUCCCCACAAAGAUGGGGUGAUGAGGGAAUCCAUAACCGUAAUGAGGAUAACUUUUUCAUCUGUGUUUAAAAGCUCUCUUUGGCUGUUGCAGUGUACCACAUUUGGAGGGACAGAAAUAAGUGAACUUUCAAUCAAAAAAGAAAUGAAGCUAUAAACAUUAUCAGAGUGCUGUUGGGAAAGAUGGUAGAUGUAAAGUCUGUUAUUGGAAGAAAGUUAAAUUUCAGUAUCAAAUUUUGGAUAGCUUCUAAUGUAUCACCAUUGACUAAAAAGUCUCAUGUUUAUAAAUUUUUGACUUCUUCUUGUA